CUCCAGAUGUUGCUGAGCUACAACUCCCAUCAUCCCUGGCCAUGGUUGUGAGGGCUGUUGGGAGUUGUACUUUAGCAACAUCUAGAG